rnacentral:lncRNA from 1 species
UGUUGCUAUUAUAAUAAUGGUUUUUGCCCUUAAAUGUAAUGUACUACAUUACUGUGAAUUAUAUACUCUAUUUAUAAUUUAAAUUUCAAAUGGAAUGUCUUGUUACAAGAAAUAUGAAAUCAAGUUGAAGAAGUUUUUAGUUAUAGAAUUUGGAUGAAGCUGGAGUUUGAUGACGUUUAUUUUAUUAUUUGUAUUGCAUUCAAUUAUAGUUCUUAUACUUUUUAAUAAUUAAAUAUAUUUCUAAAUUAUAAUAUAAUUCACUUUUGUGUACCCUCACACAUUUUGUUUCUUCCCUUCUUGUUAAUAUGUAUUGUACGUUGUUGUCCUAUGUAUAAUAAGGUAGUCAUUGCUAUUAUGAUAUAUAAUACAUUAAGACACGUCUAAUUCACGAGUAUAAUUAAAUAUAUUAAUGUUUUAAUUACAUAUUGUUGGACGAUAUUUCAUGUGAAAACAACAAUAUUUGUUUCAUUUCAUCAUUAUUACACUGUAGUGGUCACUGGAAUCAUAAAUGAAUAGGCCUAUAUAAAUUGGAACAAGUAUAUUUUCUCAAGUAUGUUUAUUGUUGUUUUUAAAAGAUUUUAUACAUAUACAUACAAAUUAUAUAAUUAAUAUUGUAUCACGCCACCUUUAUUACGAAAAUAAACAGAUAAAAGGCCCAAAAUAA